CAGCCGCCGCGGGAAUACAGAGGGUGCAAGCGUUAAUCGGAAUUACUGGGCGUAAAGCGCGCGUAGGUGGUUUGUUAAGUUGGAUGUGAAAGCCCCGGGCUCAACCUGGGAACUGCAUCCAAAACUGGCAAGCUAGAGUACGGUAGAGGGUGGUGGAAUUUCCUGUGUAGCGGUGAAAUGCGUAGAUAUAGGAAGGAACACCAGUGGCGAAGGCGACCACCUGGACUGAUACUGACACUGAGGUGCGAAAGCGUGGGGAGCAAACAGGAUUAGAGACCCCAGUAGUCCCUGUCUCUUAUAC
rnacentral:rRNA from 1 species